CACGGCGGCGUGUGCAGGCGUUCGGCGCGUCCACUCCGGCGACCACGAGCGAGGCCCCGCUCCCGAUAGCUGCGCCUGCACGCUUCUUCCCUCUACUGCCUAUCCCCUCGCCGGCGUCCGUCCUUCCCCAUCUCCCAAGAUCUGCUCCGCUGCAAUUCUCAUGUCCCGUCCGGCGACGACGACGGCCGGCUGUCGGGAUUGACGAAGGCUGUCGACCGGUUCUUGAGGAAGAAGCUCGACGAUUUUGCAGGAUUACAGAAUUUGCUUGACUGAGCUUGCAAGCGAUGUGGUCGUCGAGGAAGGAGAAGUGUCUUUCCAUCUCCACAAGGUGAACAUUCGCUCCAUCUCUCUCCAUGUGUUAUUCCCUGUUCUUCCUCCGAUGGAAUGCAGAUUCGUUGAAAGGCAUCUUGAAUGUGAGGAUGUACAUAUGCUAAAUAAGGAAGCCGUUAUUCUCUGUGAAACACCACCCAAAUUUGCCGGCGCUGGAUAGGGAUGGCGGAGCGGACUCCCUCGGCCAGUACCGGUGGAAGGCGAGGAGGUCUCUAGAAGACGAGAGCAUGGACGUGGCGGCCCCUUCGAAGACGAGAGCAGCGGCGGACGGCGGCCAAAGGUGGAGCUGGUAGCGGCGACGCCUUCGACGACGAGAGCAACGGCGGACGGCGGCCAAAGGUGGAGCUGGUAGCGGCGACCCCUCCGACGACGAGCAGACG